rnacentral:lncRNA from 1 species
ACCGUUACUCGGACAUCUUUACCCUUGGCCAUGAGCCUCCUUUAGUUUUUGAUUCAUUCAAUUCUUUAAAUUUACGAUCCGAAAUGAGGAAGAAGAAAGGAACAAAAAAACAGGUAACUCGAAAUCUAAUUAUGAAAGAAAGAUUUCGUUGCAAUAAAUCAAUAUAUUAAUAAGUAAGUAAUAUAAUGAUUUCUAACUAUAUUACAUUACUAGAUUUAUAAUUUUAAAUUUCCGAACAACAUUUCAUUUUUAUUUAAGUAUCUUGUAUGAUAUUGUUGCCCCAAUCAUAACAUUUCACUCUAUUUUUUAUUAAUUUUAUUUUAAUUUGAGCUCGGCCCGAGUUACUAGUUUCACCGAGGGGGAAUCCCCUUUUUGUUUUUCUAACGUAUAUUCGAAAAAAAGAAGGGAGGGGUUUAGUUACAGAUAUUUGAUUCUAUCUCUAAUCCUCUCCCCCCCCUAUAUAUCAAUAACUAGAAUUAAAAAAAGGGGAAUAUCAACGCAUCCGGAAAAAAACGAUUAGAUCUCUAUCAAUAAACCUGCUAAAGAUACCGAACCAUAGAGUACUUACUACCGGUGCCACAGAGAGAUAUUGUUUUUAGAUCUCGCAUUUUAAUUCUCCUCCUUCUUUAUUAUUUCUAAUACAUAAUGCUAAUACAUAUAUAACCAGAUGUGUAUAUGUACUUAAUGACUGACCGCUUUUAUUUGUACGCGGAAUCCCUAAUUCAAGUUGAAAUGUACAAAAUAGAUC